CAAUAAGCGGAGGAAAAGAAACCAACAGGGAUUGCCCUAGUAACGGCGAGCGAAGCGGCAACAGCUCAAAUUUGAAAUCUGGCUACUUUGUAGUCCGAGUUGUAAUUUGUAGAGGAUGCUUUUGGUGAGGUGCCUUCCGAGUUCCCUGGAACGGGACGCCAGAGAGGGUGAGAGCCCCGUACGGUUGGAUACCAAACCUUUGUAUAGCUCCUUCGACGAGUCGAGUAGUUUGGGAAUGCUGCUCUAAAUGGGAGGUAUAUCUCUUCUAAAGCUAAAUAUAGGCUAGAGACCGAUAGCGCACAAGUAGAGUGAUCGAAAGAUGAAAAGCACUUUGAAAAGAGAGUUAAACAGCACGUGAAAUUGUUGAAAGGGAAGCGCCUAUGACCAGACUUGUUUCUUUCAGUUUUGUUAGUUUUCGGACUGAUUUACUCUGUUAGUACAGGCCAGCAUCAGUUUGUUGUCGGGGAGAAAGGCUCAGGGAAUGUGGCUUCUUCGGGAGUGUUAUAGCCCUUUGCAUAAUACCCUUCGGCAGACUGAGGACCGCGCUUCGGCAAGGAUGCUGGCGUAAUGG
rnacentral:rRNA from 2 species